AUACGAGUGCCCCGAGCGUUAUCCGGAUUUAUUGGGCGUAAAGCGUGAAUAGGUUGUUUAAUAAGUCGUUGGUGAAAGACCAGAGCUCAACUCUGGGAACGCUGACGAUACUGUUAGACUUGAGGCUAGGAGAGGUAAGUGGAAUUGCCGGUGGAGGGGUUAAAUCCGUUGAUAUCGGCAGGAACACCAAAGGCGAAGGCAACUUACUGGAAUAGUUCUGACACUAAUUUCACGAAAGCGUGGGGAGCGAAGAGGAUUAGAUACCCUCGUAGUCCACGCCGUAAACGAUGAAUGCUAGGCAUUGGUAGUAUCGACCCUAUCAGUGCCGUUUACAAAAGCUAACGCGUUAAGCAUUCCGCCUGGGGAGUACGGUCGCAAGACUAAAACUCAAAGGAAUUGGCGGGGACCCGCACAAGCGGUGGAGCGUGUGGUUUAAUUCGAUGCUAAGCGAGCAACCUCACCAAGACUUGACAUAUAGCUGCAAGCUCUAGAGAUAGAGUCGCCUACGAGGGUGCUAUAC
rnacentral:rRNA from 1 species